rnacentral:lncRNA from 1 species
CAAGAAUGCAAUCAGAAACCGAUGUUCCCACCAUUUUUCCUAUUGCCAUCUUAAUGUAUGGAUUUGGUCCUCAGAGUUUCAAGAUCGCUACUAUCAAGAGAAGGAUCAAAUGAGGAGGCUCCUUUUGUCUAGGAGAAAAGAAGAAAAAAAUGAAAUUUGUGCUGUGAUCUGUGGAAUCGAGAUUUGAUGGACAGGUAGAAAAGAGUUUAGAAACAAGAAGGAAGAAAUGGAUGCAUUAAGUACCUAGGGACCGUAGAAAAGAUUACGAAAGGCAAGGUGAAAUUUCCAGAACUGUGUGAUUUUACCAAAAGUAAAUG